AUUGAACGCUGGCGGCAGGCUUAACACAUGCAAGUCGAGCGGAGAUGAGGUGCUUGCACCUUAUCUUAGCGGCGGACGGGUGAGUAAUGCUUAGGAACGUACCCUUUGGUACGGAAUAGUCUCGGGAAACUGGGGGUAAUACCGUAUACGCCCUUCGGGGGAAAGAUUUAUCGGAGAAGGAUCGGCCCGCGUUGGAUUAGGUAGUUGGUGGGGUAAUGGCCUACCAAGCCGACGAUCCAUAGCUGGUUUGAGAGGAUGAUCAGCCACACUGGGACUGAGACACGGCCCAGACUCCUACGGGAGGCAGCAGUGGGGAAUCUUAGACAAUGGGCGCAAGCCUGAUCCAGCAAUGCCGCGUGAGUGAUGAAGGCCUUAGGGUUGUAAACCGCUUUCAGCCGGAAAGAAAUCGCCGUUUUUAAUACAGACGGUGGAUGACGGUACCGGAAGAAGAAGCACCGGCUAACUACGUG
rnacentral:rRNA from 1 species